AAAAGUAACCCUCACAUAAUGGUAACCCUCACAUAAUGGUAACCCUCACAUAAUGGUAACCCUCACAUAACGGUAACCCUCACAUAAUGGUAACCCUCACAUAACGGUAACCCUCACAUAAUGGUAACCGUCACAUAAUGGUAACCCUCACAUAAUGGUAACCCUCACAUAACGGUAACCCUCACAUAAUGGUAUUGGUAGAAAAAGGUAACCCUCACAUAAUGGUAACCCUCACAUAAUGGUAACCCUCACAUAACGGUAACCCUCACAUAAAGGUAACCCUCACAUAACGGUAACCCUCACAUAAUGGUAACCCUCACAUAAUGGUAACCCUCACAUAACGGUAACCCUCACAU